AACUUUUAAACCCAAAAAAAAUACUUAAACGCAAAAUCAAAGCCCUAAGCCCUAACACGUUCUACCUUCUCCUUCCUCCAAAACGCAGACAACGCUCUACCAUUCCCCCAAACGCAAAUCGUAGCUCAACGGCUCAAUGCCUCCACCUUCUCCGGCACCACCCUUCUCCAGUUCUAUAUUUGUCGGCUCCACCGUUUGAUUAUCUCUUCAGCCCUCAAGUAUACUCACCCAAACCUUCUUCUCUCUAACCACUUCACCCCUUCCUAACGCAGACCUCUGGGUUUCAAAAUCUGGGUUUAAUCCUCUCAAUCAUUCUCUCUAAGGUAUUAGCCCAAACUGCCGACUCUUCCAAAGAAGCUGAUAAAUCAUGUUCUUCUUCUUCAUCUUUCUCCUCCAACCCAGGUGCUUGCAUUUUUCUUUUUUCUUUUUUUCAUGUUUGUAGCUGAACAUGAUUAAGGAGGGGUUACAUAUGAUUCUUUGAACUACAAGACAAGGACAGUCAGGGUGAAUGGGAAAAGAAGCUGCCUUUGCUGGGUUUCUUGGUUCAAUAAGAAAAAGGAGGAAGCUUUAUUUGUUUUUGGUCGUGCUUUCCUUGGGUUUCUUUGAGAGGUUGGUCUGACUGCUGUGGAAAGUUGUUGGUGGUCUUGGUCCUCUUAGGUAUGUGGGGAAGGAGGGAACUUUUUGUAUUUCUAGGCUAGGAAAGGAUUCUGUUUAUAGAGUUAUGGAGGGCUGGAACAGUGGUACUUUUUGUAUUUGUUAUGUUACUUUUUUUUCUUUUC